UACGUAGGGGGCUAGCGUUGUCCGGAAUCAUUGGGCGUAAAGCGCGUGUAGGCGGCCAGAUAGGUCUGCUGUGAAAACUCGAGGCUCAACCUCGAGCUGUCGGCGGAAACCAUCUGGCUAGAGUCCGGAAGAGGAGAGUGGAAUUCCCGGUGUAGCGGUGAAAUGCGCAGAUAUCGGGAAGAACACCAGUGGCGAAGGCGGCUCUCUGGGACGGUACUGACGCUGAGACGCGAAAGCGUGGGGAGCGAACAGG
rnacentral:rRNA from 1 species